rnacentral:misc_RNA from 1 species
GUGAAUCAUCGAAUUUUUGAACGCAUAUUGCACUCUCUGGUAUUCCGGAGAGUAUGCCUGUUUGAGGGUAAUUAAAAAGAAUAAUCACCAAUUUUUUUGGUCAAAGGACAUGAGUUCUCCGCGCUUAUAGCGGUAGCUCGAAAUAAAUGGUAGUCUCAUUUUAGUCGAGACGCGUAAUAAUAUUAUUUCGCGAAAUCUUUAUUAUGUGACUAUCACGUUUUGUUGCAUACAUUUUUGGUUUGUAUGCGAUCAAUACAAAUAUUUUUGAACAUUAUCUCUAAUCAGGUAGGAAUACC